rnacentral:rRNA from 1 species
GUACGGGAGGCAGCAGUAAGGAAUAUUGGACAAUGGAGGCAACUCUGAUCCAGCCAUGCCGCGUGAAGGAUGAAGGCGCUACGCGUUGUAAACUUCUUUUCUCUUAGAAAAAACUCUUGGUUUCGUACCGAGACUGAUUGUACAAGAGGAAUAAGCAUCGGCUAACUUCGUGCCAGCAGCCGCGGUAAUACGAAGGAUGCAAGCGUUAUCCGGAUUCACUGGGUUUAAAGGGUGUGCAGGUGGGGUAAUAAGUCAGUGGUGAAAGCCCCCGACUCAAUCGGGGAACUGCCAUAGAUACUGUUAUUCUUGAGUGUGGUUGAGGCGGAUGGAAUAUGACAUGUAGCGGUGAAAUGCUUAGAUAUGUCAUAGAACACCGAUCGCGAAGGCAGUCCGCCAAACCAUUACUGACACUGAAACACGAAAGUGCGGGGAUCAAACAGGAUUAGAUACCCCGGUAGUCAU